ACCCGUGUGGAAGGCUGACAACUGGUCUUCUCGGCUUUUUAUUUGACCCUAGGGUAGUCAUAAAAAGAAAACUGAAUCUGAGGAGUAAUGCCCGGGUAGCCGUCUGGAGAAGUAGUGUUGGCUCUCAAGGAAUUGGAAAUCGGCCGAAUCUUUAAAUGAAAUUAAUGUGUAAUAGAAGGGGUGUCGUCAGAAAUUGAUGAAGUUUAAACCACGCGUAAUGUAGUAUGCCUUCCAGUGUACUAAUUUUCACUACAGGUCCAGAUGUAUGAGACGUGAUGACCUGAGAAGAUGGUCACGAAGGUGAGAUAUUAUUGUGACCUGGUGACCUUAAAGUCCCACUUGACUCUGAGCUACAUCAAUAUCAAGCUCUAAAUCCGUGUGGGUUAUUCCUUGUAAUCCGGCGUGGUGAAGUGUCGAUACUCAGUCUGCUGAACUUGAGACACUGCAACUACUGACCUGCUUCGGCGUGUGCUACAAGGACUUGUAACCCCACGAGGACUUGUAACUACACGAAGAGGCGCUCGUCCUUAUCCUCUGAACGACUAAUCUCAUCACCAACUUUUCAACCCCGGUGAGCUAUAAGUAAGGAAAAGUUGGUGAAAUAUGUGGAGGUGAACUCUGCCCAGUUGUACGUUGGGGUCCUUCCCGAUUCUGUUGUCCGUGUAAAAUUACAUUAGAAAACUCUUCUGGUGGCCUUCACAGCUGCAACACUCGCCUGGAACACUGUUGACGUUCUUCAUGGAGCUGCAACACUCGCCUGGAACACUGUUGACGUCCUCAUGGA